UUGAACGCUGGCGGCAGGCCUAACACAUGCAAGUCGCGCGGAUGAAGGGAGCUUGCUCCUGGAUUCAGCGGCGGACGGGUGAGUAAUGCCUAGGAAUCUGCCUGGUAGUGGGGGAUAACGUCCGGAAACGGGCGCUAAUACCGCAUACGUCCUGAGGGAGAAAGUGGGGGAUCUUCGGACCUCACGCUAUCAGAUGAGCCUAGGUCGGAUUAGCUAGUUGGUGGGGUAAAGGCCUACCAAGGCGACGAUCCGUAACUGGUCUGAGAGGAUGAUCAGUCACACUGGAACUGAGACACGGUCCAGACUCCUACGGGAGGCAGCAGUGGGGAAUAUUGGACAAUGGGCGAAAGCCUGAUCCAGCCAUGCCGAGUGUGUGAAGAAGGUCUUCGGAUUGUAAAGCACUUUAAGUUGGGAGGAAGGGCAGUAAGUUAAUACCUUGCUGUUUUGACGUUACCAACAGAAUAAGCACCGGCUAACUUCGUG
rnacentral:rRNA from 1 species